AACCACCCUCCCACUAUAUUAUUUACUUCUCAUCAGUUUAUUCUUCUGUCUUCUAAUCAUUCUCUGCAGCCAGAAAAACAAAACACAUUCUUCUCAACUUCAAUUCAAGAAACCGAGAGCUCAAUCAAUUGAAUUACAGAAACUGAAUCUGCAAAAUCCAGUGGGCUACUCCUCUCGGUCCUACAAUUUCACAACCAAUAUCGGGUUAACGAGGGAAUUGUUCCGUGAGACUCUAAUCCGGAAAGAGGAAAUACUCAAGUGCGACACCUUUAAGCGAACGAGGUUGAGCGGUGACGAGCGCGGUGAGUGUUGAGCAGAGCUGGUGAAGAUUUGUGUUUACUUUUAAAUGUUCCGAAUAUAUUAUGUCUUCAUACAUAAUAUUAUUCUUCUCUCGAAUGCUUCCGCUGAAUGUUGGUUUUUUUGAGUAUGAUUUGUUGAGGUAUAAUCCCUUGAGUUGUUGAUCGUUGAGACACUCUGAUUUUAUUCGAGCUAUUCCCAUUUGUUU